UCCGCAUCCUCUCCCGCACCUCCCUCUCUCCCUCUCGCGCACUUCCCUUCCUCAUCUCUCGCGGAGAGUCCCUCCCGCACCUCCCGACCCCGAUCCCUCCACAAAUCACGCCUCCAUCGCCAUCCGCUCUCAUCGCCGAUCUAAGCCGUUGCCGACCGGAGCCGCUGCCUCGCCGCUCCUCUGCGCCUCCACCUAGGGGACCACACCGCCCCCUCCGCGCUGCAAUCGACCGGCACCGCCGAAGCCCACCCUCGACAUCUCCGGACAACGGGACAAGCUCCGUAAUCCCGCCGCCCUCCUCGCAAACUCCUCCGCCCUCCCCUCGCCCUCCUCGGCCGAUGGUUCGCCUCCUCGUGCAAACACUAACCCUAGCUCGCCUGGCGCCUCCUCGCGCAAACCCUAACCCUAGCUCGCAUGGCAUCUCCUUUCUUCCCGCGGAUGCAACGGGUGGCGAGCGGCCUUCGUGCAGGUCACGACCGGCGAGGUCGCUAUAGCGGGAUGGGCGCGACGGGCGGCGUGAUUGAUUCAUGCCCUAUAGCUUAUGGGGGAGGAGAAGGGAUCUUCAAGUACAUUGAAGGUCUACCUCUGUUACUUCCUUCUUUUCCUUUGCAUUUAGUUUCAUGGUUUCUUGCGUCAUAUUGAUUUAUGGUUUGUUCUAUUGGCUUCGUUUUGCAUGAGAACUUCUCCGGACGUCAGCUCUUUCAGUGGCCAUAGGUCAGCAACCGCAGAAGAAUUGAUGUCUACAGACACAAGGGAGCAAGAAAUUACAUGGCUGGCAAGGUCUUGUAGUAGCAGUGGAAGUGAUCCUAACAAGAAAAAAUCAGAGGUAAGAGGGGGAGGCAAAGCGUCUGUUCAAGUCAGAGACUUCACAUGGCACAUCAUCUCCCAAGUUUUAGUAACUAACAAUAUGGCAGAAUAGUGGAUUGACUUUGCAAACUGAGGAGUCAGCAUUUGAAAAACUUGUUUCGAAACCACACGCAGCAUCAAUCGCCCAAAGUGAACCUGGGGGAGAAGAUCAUGGCUUUGCAGCAGAUUAUGUCACCUUUCGGGAAGACAGAUACAGCGUCUGUCCUGUUGGAAACCAUAACCUACAUCAAAUUUCUUCAUGGUACAGAUGCCUUCAAUGUUUUUAUCUGGAUAGAUGCUGGUGCUGAGUCCACUGCUUUCCUUGAUGGUGGAUCAAUUGAGGAAGCUCCCUGCAUUUCUGCAAGACUGCCUUCUUGGGAGCGGUCAGGUAUCUGAUGAGUUUUAUCAUAUCCUACAAAGGUUGUGUUCAGGGAAAUGAAGGAAUUAAGCUUCGAGUUGACAAGCCCAUGGAAAAAGGAAGAUUAACACAUGGUCUGAGUAGGAUGUUAUGAUUGUUUUUUUUCCUUUCUGACAGGAGGAAUGGAUACAUCAGUCAAGAAAGGAGGAGUACGAACAAGAGAGCAAGGCAUGCAGAUAGGAAAACAUCAUUCGGCGAACUGACCAAACUGUGUGAGUAGUUAGAUGAUUUUUUAAGCAUGCAUAUGUAUUCUAGACAAGUUGUUAGGUCUAAUGGUGCUGAGCAUCUGUUAGGUUAGGUGACGGAGUGCUGAUGUAUUUGACAACUGUGGGCAAGUAAGUUGCUUUAAUUUUAAAUAUCGAGGUUUAUGCUGGUGCCAAUGUAUGAAAUACAGCAAAUAAGAUGUUUUACUAUUCCAAUAGUUGCGAUUGUACUAACUUCAAAAAGAUUAUAUGUAGAAAAACUGAAGCUUGCAUAUCGAUUUA